rnacentral:rRNA from 1 species
UACAGGGGGGGCAAGCGUUGUUCGGAAUUACUGGGCGUAAAGGGCUCGUAGGCGGCCAACUAAGUCCGACGUGAAAUCCCAAAGCUUAACUUUGGAACUGCGUCGGAUACUGGAUGGCUUGAAUUCGGGAGAGGGAUGCAGAAUUCCAGGUGUAGCGGUGAAAUGCGUAGAUAUCGAGAGGAACGCCAGUGGCGAAGGCGAGUCCCUGGACAGGUCCUGACGCUGAGGCACGAAAGCUAGGGGAGCAAACAGG